CCUAGGGGAGGCAGCAGUGAGGAAUUUUGCGCAAUGGGCGAAAGCCUGACGCAGCGACGCCGCGUGGAGGAUGACGGCCUUCGGGUUGUAAACUCCUGUCAGGGGUGAAGAAACUUCGCAAGAAGCUGACGGUAACCCCAGAGGAAGCCCCGGCUAACUACGUGCCAGCAGCCGCGGUAAUACGUAGGGGGCAAGCGUUGCUCGGAAUUACUGGGCGGAAGGGGUGUGUAGGUGGCUGAUUAAGUUAAGGAUGAAAUCCCGAGGCUCAACUUCGGAACUGUCCUUGAUACGGGUCAGCUUGAGGUGAGUAAAGGGGAGCGGAAUUCCCGGUGGAGCGGUGAAAUGCGUAGAUAUCGUGAGGAACACCAGAGGCGUAGGCGGUUCUCUAGGCUAGUCCUGACACUGAGACACGAAAGCUAGGGGAGCAAACG
rnacentral:rRNA from 1 species